ensembl:lncRNA
AUGUAUGGAUGCAGCGCUCAUCCCCCUUUGUCGUCAGGGCAUACGUAUAGCAAAUUACCUGGACGAUUGGGUAAUCUGUUCCCCUACAAAACAGCAGGCCAGGAACAACACAAAGGUGGUCCUAACCCAUUUACAGAACUUGGGGCUGAAGCUGCACAGCAGGAAGAGUUAUCUCAUUCCCACCAGGGCAGUCACAUACCUAGGGUUGACUUUGGAUUCAACAACGAUGAGAGCAUCUCUGACUUCUCAGAGGCGAUUGGUGUUGGAAGAAUGUCUAUCCCGGCUCCUCUGGAAGAAGCAGGUUACAGUGAAGUUUGGUCGGAGGCUGCUUGGCCUGUUGGCAGCAGCCAGUCAGGUGGUACCAUUGGGAUUGCUUCACAUGCGCCCUCUGCAGCUAUGGUUAGCAAAAUACAAAGUGAGUCCAUACAAGAAUGGACAGCAACUGAUUCCAAGGGAUGGGGAUUGUCUUCCAACAGUCCAGUGGUGGCUCUCGACUCCAGGCCUAAAGGAAGGAGUCACACUGGGCCCUUUAUGUUUAAGGGAGAUGAUAACAACAGAUGCGUCACUGGAGGGCUGGGGUGCUGUCUGGCGAGGCAAUCCAGCACAAGGACAAUGAGAUGCCUCGUGGAGAGGAGCACACAUAAAUCUCCUGGAACUGGAGGCAGUAUUUCGGGCCCUGAUCCAUUUUCGGCCUCAGCUUCGGGAGAAGCAUGUCAUUGUUCGCUCAGACAGUACCACAGUAGUGUCAUAUAUAAACCAUCAAGGUGGAUUACGUUCGACGUCCCUUUACAGGAGAGCUCGGGACCUCCUGUUAUGGGCACAUGCUCAGGGGGUGUCCCUGAGGGCCUUACACCUCCCGGGAGAGGACAAUGUAGCAGCCGACCUUUUGUCCAGGGGAGGCCCCAGGCCAGGGGAAUGGCGACUACAUCCGGCAUUGGUGCAGGAGAUCUGGUCUCGGUUCGGGGGGGCUCAGGUAGAUCUCUUUGCCUCACUGGAAACCACGCAUUGUCCCCUGUAGUAUUCAAUAGUGGCCCCCUGCUCGAUGAGAAAGGUUCUCUCGAUGGUGUCAGUCCAAGGAAAUGGACCCAGUUUCAUGCGGAGUGGAGUUAG